AGGGAGGGAAGGAUCACUUGGUGGCUACAGUGGAAGAAUGACCACAGCAACCCUUUCAACCUUCAUAGCAUGCAGAAUCAGGUGAGGAAGCUGUGUGACACAGACAAGAUGUUUCCCAGUGGAGCGACGAACAACACCAGAUGCACCUGAGAGCAGAAAAGCCAAGUGUGGCAAUUACAACUAAAUAUCAGCUGUUCCAGGAUUCCCAUCAACAUCUGGAGCCACUGGAGCAGUCCUCAUUACCUGUUGGUGAAGAUGCUGGCGCUGGAGAUGGACCAGUGGUAAAGGACACCGGCCAGUGAUGUCGAGACACAGGUUUAAACCCCGCC